rnacentral:rRNA from 1 species
GGGAAUAUUGGACAAUGGGGGCAACCCUGAUCCAGCCAUGCCGCGUGUGUGAAGAAGGCCUUUUGGUUGUAAAGCACUUUAAGCAGUGAAGAAGACCCCGUGGUUAAUACCCACGGACGAUGACAUUAGCUGCAGAAUAAGCACCGGCUAACUCUGUGCCAGCAGCCGCGGUAAUACAGAGGGUGCAAGCGUUAAUCGGUAUUACUGGGCGUAAAGCGAGCGUAGGUGGCUUGAUAAGUCAGAUGUGAAAUCCCCGGGCUUAACCUGGGAACUGCAUCUGAUACUGUUAGGCUAGAAUAGGUGAGAGGAAGGUAGAAUUCCAGGUGUAGCGGUGAAAUGCGAAGAGAUCUGGAGGAAUACCGAUGGCGAAGGCAGCCUUCUGGCAUCAUAUUGACACUGAGGUUCGAAAGCGUGGGUAGCAAACAGGAUUAGAUACCCUGGUAGUCCACGCCGUAAACGAUGUCUACUAGUCG